GUCUAUGGUCAUACCAUCCUGAAUGUGCCUGAUCUCAUCUGAUUUUGGAAGCUAAGCAGGGUAGAGCCUGGUUAGUACUUGGAUGGGAGAAAAUAAAGUUUGUCCAGAUU
rnacentral:rRNA from 1 species